CUGUAUCUGUGCUUGGAAUUGCCCUGACCCAGGUGCAGGACCUUGUACUUGGCCUUGUUGAACUUCAUGAGGUCGACAUGGACCACCUCUGAGGCCUGUCCGGGUCCUUCUGGAUGGCAUCAGUUCCCUCUCUUAUGUCAGCUGCACCAUUCAGCUUGGUGUCAUCUACAAAGUUGCUGAGAGUGCACUUGAUCCCACUGUCCAUGUCACCUACAAAGAUGUCAAAUAACACUGGUACCAGCACCAAUCCUUUUAAGUUCUGUUAAAUCUCAGGUUGUAGAAUGCUGUAUGCCUCUGAAUUAAUUGCUGAUAUUUCAUCUGAAUUUCCCCUGUCUGCACAGCAACUCUGAAGUUAAAGGAAAAACCACCCAUACCACAGGACUCUGAUCCAGUGAGACUUAACGAAACAUUCUGGUCCUAUUCUUCGUCAGAAUUUUAUAGCCAAACACAGGGAAUGCCAAGAGCAUUCUAAGAUUUCUGCAGCAAAACUGAAUGGCUUCCUUUUUACAAGUAAAAUGUGAUGAGCUCCACAAGUACCUGCUGGGGCAUUUAGAGGUUGUCAAUCCUGCAGAGAAAGCACCACCAGAUUGUUUAUCACUUGAUUUACAGAGAUGCAGAACAAGGAGUCUUGCUGGGUUUUGGAGUGUGAGUAUCCUGUGACUGAAUGAGAUUUGGACUUCACCAGCCAGCUCCGUUUAUAAACACAGUGCAGUCUGAAACAGCUGUCCAGACAUUCAUCAAGCUGUUGGGAUUCAGCCCUCCAUAUUUGGCCUUCAUGACUUUAGGCUUGCUUGGUUUGGACAGGCUUAAGAUUAUCUCUUUCUUUGGCAUCCUUGAUACAUUUCCAGAAUGCUGUCUCUCUCUGUCACUAUUUCAUGAUACUUCCUGGUCCAAUUGCUGUUCUGAAUCAAUGACUACUAAGCCUGUGACUCAGGACACUCUGAUCUUCAGCUCAUUUCUUCUGUGGCACAUGACUACUGAAGCAAAAUGAUCUUUAACCCUGUGUGCAGCUUAAUACCCAUACAUUUACAUUUUAAGGAAGCACAAGCACUUCAUAGCUUUAGCUUUAAAAAAGUCUUGUACACUAAAUACACCUAGGUCACAACCACCUGACUCUCUAAAUAGUGUAUCCUCCAAGACUAAACCUUAAGUUCUCUAGCAUACAGAUCUCCCUGUUUUACACAGAGCUUCUCUGGAACAGGAGGCCCACCAAAUAACAGCUUUUCCUCAAUUUUCAGUUACCACACAGAUUUUCUCCAUUAAAAGUCUUUCCAUAUGUAUCUAGCAGAAGUUGUAUAAGUGUAGAUGCCAUUUUGUGGUAUUUCACAGGUAAGUGUAGAAGUUUCUUCUCUGCUAGGUAACCUUACACUUGCUCACUUGGCAGAAUAGAUUUUCUUUUCUUGUCAUCGCUUCAACCAUGUUAAAGAGUUUGCUAAUUCAAGUGUUAUUGCGUUAUAAUAGGCCAAGCACCUCACACAUAGCAAUCAAUGCAGAGGCUGCUGCAGCUCUUCUUCCACUCCCAGGAAUUAUUUCUGUAGGGAAAGCCAUACACAGAUCUCAGGUAACAGGCUAUACAGGAACAAACUGUCAAACAAGACCUCUGGAACAUGUUGGAAUAACACAAAACUGGCUUCACUCUUUGCGUCAUUAAAGCUGAGGUUUCUCUGGGUGCAUUUUCUCAUUAUUGUGCACUUUACAAUCAUUGAAAGAGAAUUCAGAGAGUAAAUGGAUUUUACUAAUUUAUCAGCAAAGAGGCAUUUCCAAGCCUUAUGCCUCAGUAAAUGCUGAGUAUUAUACAUAAGAAAUACUUCCAACAUAAAGGCAAUCUGCAGAAUCUGCAGAGAGAAAGAAGCAUAUUAUUUGUUUAAUUUCAUUGACUUCAGUAAGAAGCAUUCAGAGAAAUGAUGUUGACAGUUCUUCAAAGGCACCCUUGCCAUUGAUGGAGUGGUGGCAGUUAAGCUAUCCAUAUUCGAGUAGUUUAGAAGGAAAGCUACUAUAUAAAAACAAAUAGCAAAUGCUUUGAAACAAGAUAGCUUUUCUCUGGGAUUCUGUAAUGCCAGCUAGUGAAAUUCAGUCCGCAAGUUCAGGUCCAUGAAAGUUGCUGUCACUGAGGAAUUGCUCAUCCUGUACUUCAGAGGUGUGUUCCCUCAUAUAGCUUGAGCCCCUCACAUUUAUUUUAGUGAUCAAAAUAUCUACUAGUCUUUUAAUCUCUGGAAAAAGUAGCUAUGAAAGUACGGAGUUCUAUUUCACUCCUGCCAACAUCAAUAGAAUUCCCUAUUAGACUUCUGUCAUACAUAUCUGAUAACAAAAGAAAUUAAACAGGUAAUGGUAAGCAUGAGCUUUAAAAACUAAAAUAUCAAACUGCUAUGCUGAAUACUUGUAUUUUGCAGUGUGGUGUAUUAUUGACAAUAAAGUCUCAACUGAAUUUGUAGGCUGUCAUUUAUUAAAAAACUGUUCUGUUGAAAACAGUACCAAAAUGCUAAAUGCUAAAUAUUUAAACCUAUUUAUAGGAUUCACACCUUAAUUUAAAUAAUCUUCCAGAGUUUGAUGAGAGUACGGCACAAUUUUGGCUAUACUUUUGUUAGCAAGCAGAAGAAUCAAAAGAAACAAGGAAAGUCUGUUUAAAAAAAAAAAAACAGAUGUUUGCUAGGAGUAAAAACCCAUGCUAAACUACAGGUAUUUUUGGAAGGAAAGGAAAAUACUUUAAACUAGAUCCUGCUGGCCUUUUGCAGCUAGAAUGCUUUAAGUAUGCUCCUGUAUCAUGCCUUUACUUUUUUUUUUUAUUCUAAAAGGAACUCAGCUUUUGUUCUGACUGACAAUUCAACAUCAACAUAAUCUAAAGUGAGGCAGAGAAGGAAAGAUUCACAUCAACAAGGCAUUCCCUCUCUGAACUAACACAUUAACAUAUAUGAACCCUGUGAUGAUCAGCGGAAAUUGUCGAGGAAGAAAUCAAUUAAUAUAAAGGAAAAGGAUAGAGAAACCACGUGUUUCCCAUAAGGGUUCUGUUCUUAAAUGCUUUCCAUGAUUUAAUAAUCUAUUUCAGGUAUGUUACAGAGCCAUUUAACUCUGGAAUAAUCAUUUUAAAAGGGCAAACAGGUUGCAGCCCAGAUAUCAGCACUGAAGUAUGUUAAGGAAACUUUAACAGAGCUGUGGUAGAAAAAGAUAAAAUAGAAGAAAAAGUUGCACUGCUCAGACACUUUCUCUUUCAAAGAAAAUCUUUCAUCUGUAGUAAUAUGAACACAGAUGUUUUCAAGUAAAGAAAUAAAACACAGACGCAGGAGAUGAGGUAAACUUCAUGCCAGUAUAUGAGUCUAGAUCGUCUAAGAAGGAUAAGAAUCAGUUUCUGCUCUUUGUUUCACGUAUGCACCAUCACUAAAGCACCAAGAGAUUCUUUAAGUUGCAAUUUCAUUCACUGUUAUGUCUGGGAACAUACCCUGUGAGUCUGAAUGUUCAGCAUUCAUCUCUAUGAAAAACAAAGUAUGUAAUAAAUCAGUUUAAUUGUAAAGGAAUUCUGACAUACCUAACCAUUGCCAUCUCUUCCCUUUAAAGCAAAUCUAAAACUUCCUAUCUGGGGCCCAGCAGUUCAGAUUUCUGUGGUCUGAGGCAGAGUUCUGCAAAGCACAGAGGUGUCACUCCGCUCAACUUUACAGGAAAACAGAGACCUGCUAUUACUCUGCAUUCACAGUCAAUUGAGCAAAAUCUUGUACUGCAGGGGUUGUUUGUUGAUAUCUGGUGGUUUAUAUUUAUACAGAGAAUAAAGUCUUGUUAUUUCCUUAUUUCCAGGAAUUCUGAGUACUUAAAUAUCCCUCAAAUUAAUUUGGUUUUCUUAGAAGCCUAUUGUCUUUAUAACAGGCAAGUUUCCCCUACUCAUCUCCCCAGAUAGCUGAGUUUCAGCCUGUAGAGAUGUUCUUCCUUCUUUCAGGCUUUAUAGAGCCAUUUUUACUUAGAUUUUUUUCUACAUUAUUUGGUCCUCUGACAUACCCAUGGUUUUCUUUCUGAUGGCUGACAACCCAGACACCCAUGUCAGCUCUUUCAGGUCAGUUUUCCCUUUGAUUUCUCAGUUCCACACAUAAACCUCCAAAACCAGCAAGGUGAGACAGCCUAAGAAACUAUAGUGCCACAUGGAAAAGUAGUGGUAUUUACUGGCAUUGUUUAUCUUAGUAUUUUGUCAGCUAUAGCUUUUGGUUUAAAAUUCGCUUAUGUGACUAAAGGAAAACUGAUAGCCAGCAAACAUAUUGCUUGCUCAUGUCAUCUUAACACCGAUCAGUGUUGCAACCAGCGUAUCAGCACGCACGGUCUCACUGGCAACUCCUGAAGAGGCAGGUUUUCAAAGUUCACCUCUUGCUUGCUGGAGGGAGCUAGAAUCUCCAGACUAAUGCUUCUUGCUGCUUGUAAAUGUCACCAUGGUAUCUCAUUACCACAACUAGUUUAAAAAAGUCUGACAUUUAAAAGAUACCAACUUAGAAAUUGCCUGCCAACUACACGCUACCACUGGUAAAGCAUGGACUUGCAAAGAAAAACUACUAUCUAUCAAUUCAGACAACCUUCCUUCAGCACUUCAGGUUUUCCCAAGGGCAUUCUCCAUGCCAAUACUGACUCUGUCCCAUUCUAGUUGCCCUAUGAACAUUAAUAAGAUUACAGCCUUAGGGAGCAUGGUUCAUGGCCAAUACUGAAUCAGGUAAGUGGGAUGGUUAUUAACAAGCCAUGUAACAGGUCAUAGCAGUGCCUGCCAAACCAACCCAUGGAAUGAAAACUGUUUCCCACCUUUAAGCAACAUAUACCGAUAUAAAUGAUAUAUCCCAACAUCUAAGCAGUUGCUUCAUUAAGAAAACGGUUCUGAAGUGUCACAAAGGCUUUUAUUAAAAAAGUGGAGUACUAGUAACAAGUUAUAACAGACCUCUUUAAUUGCGUUUAGCUGUAGAAACAGUGUGAUGCAUUUCAUAACAAAAGCAGGUUAAAGACUAAAGGGAACAAAGGACUGAGGACAAGCACCUUCACUUUCAGGUUAUGUUACAUUGGGAAGUAACAGCCAAAGUGAGCUACCAACAUAUCUGUGAAGGUGAUGCUGAAACUCCUUACAUCUCCAUUGUAUGUUUUGUUUUUUUUUUUGAGGGGGUGGGGGGCUAUGGAUUAAUGCCUGGCUUGUGGACAAAACAUCUUCACAAAACAUACUGUUUAAAACAUUCUGAAGGUAAGUUGUCCUCCAGGGUUUCAUGUCCUAAACUACAGGUCUCCAAGAAAUACUGCACUGUUUUCUCGUUUCUCACAAAUAUUUCAGCACUCACAUUAGCAUUACAUGUGAAUGACUCAAUGUGCAAAAAGUCUAUUCAUAACAUUACCUAGCACAGUUUUGGCACUUGCUGUCCAAAAUCACCUUCCCAGUCUGUGCUGGAACAACAUGGUCUUCAAGAAAGCAUGGGAAAGAAGUGCUGGGGAAGAGACUCAGUGCUGCAGCUGCAGGGAAACACUGCAAGAGUAUUUUAAGUGAAACAAUACCCAUGUUCCUACACCUGCUUUUUCCUCUAAGAAAACAAGACACAGUGUCUUCUGGGGAGUUCUCACUGCCAUAAUUGCUUCUUCCUUCAUCCACUGACAGCAUCCUGACUGUAUGAGGUCAGGCUGGUUGAGGUGAUUGUCCUCCAGAUAUUGAACAUCCCACAACAAAUUUUUGCAUUUGCAGUGAUGCAGUUGAAGUCCAUCACCAGAUUAGACUCAUGUUCUCUUCAUUCUGGUACAACAUUUCAGGUACUGACAUUCCAGAAAACAUGUGCUAGGAGUGAAGUCUGACAGUCUCUGCCUGUUACUAAUUUGUAGCAGUGGAAAAACUGGCAGUCAUGUUCUGCAAAGCUACGCUGCCUUAUAACAUUGAGAUAUUGAUGAAAAUAUCAAAAAUACUUGAUCCCCACAGAUUCCCAAACUGGAAUAGGAACAGUCAAUGAGGUACACACCACCGUGUAUGGCUCAGUCAGCUGUGAAGGCAUUUAUUGCAAGGGCUGUCACUGUUGUCAAAUGCAGGCCCUGACAUGCCAUCAAAACCAGUUCAGGAGAGUUAAGUACAGUACAUUAGGGUUUUUAAUUAUUAUUAAUAACGAAGGAUACAUAUCAGACAUUGUGUGUAGACUGGACAACUCACUGCCUGUGCUACAAGUAUUUUAGACAUAACUGGAGACUAUUCCAUCUUUUGGAAAAGAAUAUAUAUCUUCAGCUCCAUUACAAAAAUAAAUUAGUCAGUUAGUCACUGCAAGACCUAAUGACUGUGAAGCCUAACCUACAUCUUCAGUUCUGUGGUGUUAAACUAGGAAAGGUUAUGUGCAACGUCUGACCUACAUAGUCACACCACACACAUCUACAUGAGUGCUCUAAAGACUUCCAAGGACACAGAGUUCUAUACAAAGAGCAAAGAGGGGGCAUCCCAAAAGAAUUUCCCUGCCCAGCAUAAAUCUUUCCAUAGCCACAUCAUUGGCCACAGUUCUUGUGCAAGGCUCAGCUGAAAAAGCCUUUAACUGAAAAGCAGUCCUGAUCUUCUCAUGGAUUUAGGAGCCUCUGCAAAAUGCAAAAAGUGAGCUGCAAUUCAGCAGCUAAUAAUAAUACACAAAAAUUCCUUUUCUGAAUAGAACUGAAAACCUCAUAAAUUUCAGUGUACUUGAGAUACUUUAACUGCAUCCAAGGUCAUUUCCACCUGAUGUUGGUCUCACAGGGAAUUUAUUUCACUAAUGUUCAUUAGGUUGGAGUCACUCCUACUUUGUACCUCCUUAAAUCAUUGUCAAUUCAUAGUCAACUAGUAAUAGCUGGUUAGCCUGGAAGCCUAGUAUCAUCAUCACAUUAAGAUCUAAUAUAAUUCAGAUAGUCAAAACAGAUCAGGCAAUUUUGUUUUUUUAAUUUUUUAAUUUUUGUUUUCUGUCUAGGAUAUAAGCAUGCAUUCGCUCAAAUACGGUAAGUUAUUUACUGUAACUACCAUAAUAUUCAAACCAGUAUUUUCAAAGUUUUGUUGAAAGUCAAAGAAAAAGAGAACAAAGUUAUAAUAUCCUUUUCCAAUAGGUAAUUUUAAAUACAUCUUCUCUGCUGUUCUAAGCAAGUCCCAGGAAUUCUGUGAGAAGACUGAAGAAUCAAUGAAACAAAGCUCUUGGUCCUUCUGGACUCUCCUUCUGCUAAUCUACUCUUAACUUAGGAUCAAUACAUUUCUCUGCAAAUACACUGCUUCCAGCACUGCCUGGAACUUUUCUAUUAUUAGUGUACAUGCCCAUUCACUCCCAUCAUGUUCCUAAUCUGUUUGCCUUUCUUGUUGAAUAACUUCCCUUUAAAAGAAAGAUUUGGAUUCGCAAUUCAUAAAUACGAAGACUCCAUCUGGCAAAACACAGUUUAUAUUUUGCCAUAAAAUAUUUAACUCCUAUUCAGCUCCCUCUACAAAAAUGCUUUGUUUACCACAUUGGAAAACAUAUGAUACUGUAAGAGAUGAUAUAUACAUACACACUUAGGCAAGCCUGUAUCAUUUACAGAUAUCAUCAGCAUGGGUUUUCUUCCUAUGAUGAGUUUACUUUAAGAGCUCUAAUCAAAGAGAAGGUUUAGUUUAUCUUGCAGUCUCACAGACUUUUGGUGUGAAGCACCACGUGUUUUGUAGCUCUUUCUUUUUCUUUAACAAUGGUCUUCAUCAAUGAGUCUUAAAAUUUAAAAAGAGACAGGAAAGAACAGAGCGAAAAAAAAUCUACACAGCACUUUUAGUUUUUGAAAUCCUACCUGUUUAGUAUUAGAGUUAGUUCAAAUAAUGUGGAGCCAUCUGGAACACUGCAGCUGUCUUAACUGCCAGAAUUGAGUUUCUUUUGUUUAUUCACUAGCAGAAACAGUUUCUAGUCUACAGAGGGUCUUUAGUCUUAUCAAAGAACAAACCAGAUAGUCAGCCAUGAAGAGAUGAGUAUAAUGAGCCCCAUCCUUAAAUACCUCAUAGAAACAGCUUGCUUCCCUUGAGAUUUCAGAGUAGGCAGUUUAUCUACCACACGUGGACAAAGCCUCAAAUUGUUAUUGCUGGUGCUGGGAUCGCAAUUGUUUUUUUUUAUUUUAUUUUAUUUUUCUGCACAGGCAAAGCCCAGGACUUGGGAAUGUGUAAUUUCUAAUAAGUUUUCUGAAUAAAGUAAACUCCAUACAGAAAGAAUGUAUAUAUGUGUUUCAACAUAAAAAUGUGUGAUAUAACCAACGACUUUUGUCUUAGCUCUCAAGAAGCAACUAAAACUGUAUGCUAAUGCUACACAUGAUGUAAAUAUCUACGUGUUAUGGGUGUGGUACCUUUGUUACUCAAAUUGAAAUCAAAAGAAUAAAACACACAGCUCAUAAACUUAAUACUUCUUCUAUUUUUAGAGUAGAAGGACAGAAGAAAUCUCCCUAAAGAUAGCAUCUACUCACAAAAAAAAAAAAAAAAAAAAAAAAAAAAAAAAAAAAAAACCAGCACAAUCAGUACCCUUAGCCAUCUACAAAUUAAGCUGCCGUUUUUUCUUUUUUUUUUUUUUUUUCCUGUUUUUUUUCUGUUUUUUUUUCCUCCUUAAAAUACAAAGCAAGUUGAAAUCUGUGUGACUGAGACAAGGCUAUCCUGAUACAGUGUGUCCUUGUGCUCACAAUGUAGCUAGCAGCUACCAGCAUCCCCAAGACCAGGUUUGAGCCCAGAGCAAAUCUGUCUCAGCACUAGAAAAGAAAUCAUGUCAUUUAACACAGGUGUAUGCUCUUACCAUUGUUUGUUUAUAAAGCAAUAAAAUAAGAUGUUCUUGCUAAUCUAUCUAAACUGUGAAGAGCAAAUACAUCUGCUUAGAUAUGGACUUGGUUGUCAAGAUACUUUAGCAUCUCCAUCUCCCUCUUCUUUCUUGAGGCUAUAGAAGCAUUGCUUUUGCCUUACUUUCACCCUGUGAUAAACUUCUGCUUGGAAGAUAGAACAAAAAGGACUACAAAAAGCCCCAAAUCAGAAUAUUUUUUUCCUUUUCCUCCCCUCCCGUCCAGUAGCAACCAUAUGAUAAAUCAGUACAGUCAUUUCCUUUUCUUUUUAGUCCUCACAACUUGAAGUAAAAAAAUAAGAUAAAGUUAGUAGAUCUAACAAACUCUAAUGUUCUACUGGACUUUAAACUUCCAUUUAGGAAGAGAAGCAAGUCCAGUGGAUUUCUGCUGAAAACCAGAAAGAAGUUAUGGUUACAACCUCAUCAGUGUUUUUCUCUGUCACUAGAUUAGCAGAAUCUAUAUCCUGCAGUUCUUUGUGAUGGCUUCUCAAUCCUGAUGAACUACUGUAUAUUCAACUCAAAAGCCAUCUACAAAUCAAGAGAGCAUCAGCAUCCCCAAAUCGCAUACUUGACCACUUCUUGGACCUUACCUGGUCACGGCAUUUUGAAAGCUUAUUUUUACUUAAUGAAAUUAUUAAAGCAUCAUGGUAAAUAGCUUUAAAGUAUUUGAAGAAACCGUGUGUAUACAAGAAACAACUCAACAAAUAAUUGCUUUAUAGCAGACUGCCAGCAGCUGAGCACUCAGGAUGAAAUACCACUAUGAGGAGGCAGAUGUGCUCUUCACUGUGGCUCCUCACUUUGCAGACUUGGUCUCCCCACCCCCUACAAACAAGUUAUAGUUUAUCAACUGUAGGACGCAAUAACAAGCCCAUUUAUUGCCUCUAGCUUUGAGAGGAUUGGAAAGACCUGAAAAGGAAGCAUAAAAUCGGCUCCAUUCUCAGUUACAACGUUAGAUGUGUACAUUACUAAUAGUAAAACCAAGGGAGAAGAGUCUCCAGAGAAUUCUAUGUUACACACUGUUCUGACACAUAAUUCCCAACAUAUGUCAGAAAUGAAGCCAGUUACUUAAUUUCUAAACAUUUAGUAGUAAAGAAAAAAAUCCAUGUAGGUGCCUAAAUAAAGAUUAUCUUAUUCUCAGAGGUGCACAGCACAUUUAAAAACAAAAAAUAAUAGCAAGCACAUUAGCCCAGCUAUCAUCCACAUAGAACAUACAUACAUACAUGAUAGUGCAUGUGAAUAAGCACACUAUUUUGGAUUUGAUCAGAUAGGAAGAUAAAACGGUAUCAGUAGCUACACUAAUUUAGUACAUAUGCUCCAUUUAAGAGAAUCAGAGGUCAGUGUUUGCCUGCGUUGUUUUCCAGUUCUCCACCCUUUUUAAGAGUGGCAACCUGACAGUUUCAUUAUUUCAGUUGCAUUAGACAUCUUUUUAUGUACAAGGUGCUGAACAUGGAUGAAAUUGACCAUAAGAGGGAAGAAGGAAGGUGAAGCAAGACAUUCUUUUGAAAACCAUUUCUCUAUAUCUAUCUGAACGUGAGAAAUUUUGAAUGAAGUAUCCAGGCAGUGAAAACUUCAGCUGAUGUUCUGGCUCUAUGUAGACAGAACCCUAAAAAUUUUGGUGGGAAUCUAAAACAGAAUGGAAAGAGUUUGUAACUGUACCAUUAUUGAAAGUGUGCAUAAGAGGCAGGCAGUGACAAGACAGCAACUUCAGCAGUUUACAAUGGAAGGGGGUGAAGCUAAGUUAAGGCAAAGCAUCAGGCAAUCUGACAUACAACUUGGAAUCACAGGCACAUUAACACAUGAGAUCACUGUAUCACAAUGAGUUAAAAAAAUGCAACAAAGUAAGAAUUCAAGAGCAACUGCACUGACAAGAGAACCCAAGGUAAGUGAAAGUGCAAAAAAGAAAGCUAUGUGAUUAACAGCAAAAUAAAUUUUGCUUUUGAAAUCAAA